rnacentral:rRNA from 1 species
GUGAACGAGCGACGCCGCGUGGAGGAUGAAGGCCUUCGGGUCGUAAACUCCUGUUGGGGGGUAUGAUGGGAGAGAGCGCUAAUACCGUUCUCUCUUGACGUCAACCCCUGAGGAAGCCACGGCUAACUCUGUGCCAGCAGCCGCGGUAAGACAGAGGUGGCAAGCGUUGUUCGGAUUCACUGGGCUUAAAGGGUGCGUAGGCGGCCAGGUAAGUCUGGCGUGAAAUCCCUCGGCUCAACCGAGGAACUGCGUCGGAAACCGCUUGGCUCGAGGGCAGUAGAGGGGGGUGGAACUCCUGGUGUAGCGGUGAAAUGCGUAGAUAUCAGGAGGAACGCCGGAGGCGAAAGCGACCCCCUGGUCUGUCCCUGACGCUGUGGCACGAAAGCUAGGGGAGCGAACGGGAUUAGAUACCCCGGUAGUCCUAGCCGUAAACGAU